rnacentral:rRNA from 1 species
AGAGUUUGAUCCUGGCUCAGGAUGAACGCUGGCGGCGUGCUUAACACAUGCAAGUCGAACGAGGUCCAUCCAAACUUGUUUGGGGAAGAUCUAGUGGCGAACGGGUGCAUAACACGUGAGAAACCUGCCUCAGUCUCUGGGAUAACAGUUGGAAACGACUGCUAAUACCGGAUGCCGUCACACCAUCACAUGUUGGAGUGACGAAAGAUUUAUCGGAUUGAGAGGGUCUCGCGGCCUAUCAGCUAGUUGGAGAGGUAACGGCUCACCAAGGCAUCGACGGGUAGCUGGUCUGAGAGGAUGAUCAGCCACACUGGGACUGAGACACGGCCCAGACUCCUACGGGAGGCAGCAGUGGGGAAUCUUGCACAAUGGGCGAAAGCCUGAUGCAGCAACGCCGCGUGCGGGAAGAAGGCCCUAGGGUUGUAAACCGCUUUCAGUANGGAAGAAACAUGACGGUACCUACAGAAGCAACGGUGCGGCCAACUACGUGCCAGCAGCCGCGGUGACACGUAGGCACCAAGCGUUAUCCCGGAUUUAUUGGGCGUAAAGAGCUCGUAGGCGGUUCGGUAAAGUCGGGUGUGAAAAACUCUGGGCUCAAACCCAGAAGAGGCCACCCGAUACUGCUGUUGACUAGAGUGCCGGCAAGGGAGCCGGGGGAAUUCCUUGGUUGUAGCCGGUGAACAUGCGCAGAUAUCAGGAGGAAACACCAGCGG